UAUUAUUGAAAAUGUAAAUAUAAUUUAUUAAAGUAGUAUUAGUUAUGUUCUUGAAACUUAAAAAAUUUGGCGGUAUUUUAGUCUAUUCAGAGGAACCUGUAAUGUAAUUGAUAAUCCACGUUGGACCUUACUUAAUCUUGUAAUUUUUUUUUUAAAAAAAAAAAUCUAUUUGUAUAUCGCUGUUAUUUGAAAAUUUUAAAAGAAUAAAAAUUUUCAUAAUUUUUUAUAUAAAAAAUAAAUCAAGUCAAGGUGCAGUUUAUGAUUAAGUAUUAUAUGGGUUACAUUAAAUUUAUUUAAAUGAAUUAAUUUUUGCAAUAGGUUUAUGAAGGUGGAUUUGAAAGUAAAUUUUUAUAGAUUAAAAAAUUGAUU
rnacentral:rRNA from 1 species